rnacentral:rRNA from 1 species
CCUACGGGGGGCAGCAGUGGGGAAUAUUGGACAAUGGGCGAAAGCCUGAUCCAGCCAUGCCGCGUGUGUGAAGAAGGCCUUCGGGUUGUAAAGCACUUUCAGUGGGGAAGAAAGCCUUGGGGCUAAUACCCUCGAGGAAGGACAUCACCCACAGAAGAAGCACCGGCUAACUCCGUGCCAGCAGCCGCGGUAAUACGGAGGGUGCGAGCGUUAAUCGGAAUUACUGGGCGGAAAGCGCGCGUAGGCGGUCUGAUAAGCCGGUUGUGAAAGCCCCGGGCUCAACCUGGGAACGGCAUCCGGAACUGUCAGGCUAGAGUGCAGGAGAGGAAGGUAGAAUUCCCGGUGUAGCGGUGAAAUGCGUAGAGAUCGGGAGGAAAACCAGUGGCGAAGGCGGCCUUCUGGACUGACACUGACGCUGAGGUGCGAAAGCGUGGGUAGCAAACAGGAUUAGAUACCCGGGUAGU